UGUGGCACCAUGAAAGAGAACAAGGCAUUAAAAAAGUAGCCCCCCAUUAUGCUGAAGGUUACUUGCAGCGAGAAACUCGCGUUAGAAUUUAUUAUAUGUAACAAUGUACAAACUUCGCCAUCAGAGGGCGCUCAGUGCCGUAUACAACAGUGGUUGACGCUCUUGCAGGCUGAAGAAGUCUGCCAUUGCUGAGAAAGCAGCUUACAGUAGCUAUUAGGAGCAGCUACUAUAACCGCUGUGCUUUCUGUUCACAGCCUGUUUAAACCAAAUAAUUAUGCUACACCAGAAGUGCCCCGGCCCAUCAUUUUCUGCUGUGCAACAUAUUUUGGCGAGCCAGUCAGGAGGUGGCGCUAGUGAGUCAACACCAUCACCAACUACCUUCCUUCCCAAGAGACGAACCAGAAAAAAAAUAAAAUGGGGGCUACUAUUUUCA